UACGUAGGGUGCAAGCGUUGUCCGGAAUUAUUGGGCGUAAAGAGCUCGUAGGCGGUGUGUCACGUCGUUCGUGAAAACCUGCAGCUUAACUGUGGGCGUGCGGUCGAUACGGGCAUCACUGGAGUUCGGCAGGGGAGACUGGAAUUCCUGGUGUAGCGGUGAAAUGCGCAGAUAUCAGGAGGAACACCGGUGGCGAAGGCGGGUCUCUGGACAGUUCCUGACGCUGAGGCACGAAGGCCAGGGGAGCAAACGGG
rnacentral:rRNA from 1 species